ACUUGUCAAUUAUUGAAUUAGAACAGCGAAGGUGCGCCCUAUGAAUAAAAGCAUGCUCAUGAUUAUUUUAUUGCUG
rnacentral:tRNA from 1 species